rnacentral:misc_RNA from 1 species
AAGCUGUUGUUUCUGUGGCCCA